CCCCCCCAUCCCCUACCCUCUCUUCAUAUGAAAAGUAGAGGAACCCCAGAGUAUCUCUCUCAGAAGAAAUAAUUUCAGAAAAACAGAACAAAGGGAACCAGGCAAUCUUCUCAAGCUUUUCCUUCCAUUUCACGUUUAGCUUCCAAAGCAGACCUUGGAUGAACUUUCUCUCAUUUGCUGAUAUCUUAGUGUAGUGAUCCCUGAACGGUACCAUCGGAUCUCACAAGGACAAUGUAGCUGCCAUCACGACCAAGCUUGUCACUAAACCACAUCUACUCCUGCCUUAGUGGGGCCAGCUCCCUCCAGCUCCUGCGGCUUUGACUUCACUGCCAUGGUGAACUGUAACCUGGCACUGUGAGCCAGAAUAAGUAUAUUCCUGUUGGGGCUCUAGUAUUUGAACCAGAACAGAACACAUAGCCUUACUAUUGAUGCUGUCUGGCCCAUGGGAAUUGUUUAAAAGUCCCCAACUAGAUGGAGAGCAUCAUACAUCUUGGGUCUCUGGGAAAAGAACAUGAAGACAGGAUUCGAAGUUGAGAAGAAGUAUUGCUGAAGGCUGGAGAGAUGGCUCAGUGGCUAGGAGCCCUUGCUGCUCUUAGAACCCAAGUUUGGUUUCCAGUGCUCACACUGGGUGGCUGACUGCUGUCUCUAACUUCAAUUUUAGGAAGAUUUGG